rnacentral:rRNA from 1 species
GAUGAACGCUGGCGGCGUGCCUAAUACAUGCAAGUCGAGCGAACGGACGAGAAGCUUGCUUCUCUGAUGUUAGCGGCGGACGGGUGAGUAACACGUGGAUAACCUACCUAUAAGACUGGGAUAACUUCGGGAAACCGGAGCUAAUACCGGAUAAUAUUUUGAACCGCAUGGUUCAAAAGUGAAAGACGGUCUUGCUGUCACUUAUAGAUGGAUCCGCGCUGCAUGAGCUAGUUGGUAAGGUAACGGCUUACCAAGGCAACGAUGCAUAGCCGACCUGAGAGGGUGAUAGGCCACCUUGGAACUGGGCCGCGGUCCAGACUCCUACGGGAGGCAGCAGUAGGGUACCUUCCGCAAUGGGCGAAAGCCUGACGGAGCGACGCCGCGUGAGUGAUGAAGGUCUUCGGAUCGUAAAACUCUGUUAUUAGGGAAGAACCUAUGUGUACGUAACUGUGCACAUCUUGACGGUACCUAAUCAGAAAGCCACGGCUAACUACGUG